AAGAGAGUGGAGGUCAGUAAUCUCUGGGGAGAUGAAUGAUGGAGGCAACAACGGUAACGGAAUGUUCAGGACACCAGUUAAACCGCAGCAGAGUAACUCAUCCAGUCUUAAAGGAACAGAGCCACAUUCCUGGCAAUCUACUUAUGUGGAAUAUUCAUAAUGAAUGCAGAAGAUAGACACUAGAGGGCGCCAGAGGGGGCUCUGUCAUCAGGAUUCCCAUGCUCAUGAGGUUAGAGGGAGGAGAAGAGCACGGUGCCUUUUCUAAUUUAAGACUAAAGAGUUGCUCAAGCAGAAGAGGCCAGACAAUCCUGAACAUCUGCCAUAAUGUUGCAACCUUCACACAUUGCAUAUUUCUGUGAAGGGGAAGAGUGAUAUUACUAACACACACUCAAAUUGUUGGGGUGGAUUUGAUAAACAUGAAGCUGUUACACUUUAAUUUCAAACAGCAUUUGGGGUAGUAUUCUUCAUACAUUUAACUGAGAACUUGAGAAUGGGUAAUCAGUUCCUUGUUAAUUCUUUCUUUAAUACUAGGCAUGAUUCUUUAAGCGUGAUUUCUGUGGAGAGAGCAGAGUCCCUCUACACUUUUGAACUCAGUGUUAUGCUUUAAAACUCCUAUGCAGUGAGGAAUGCCUACAUUGUUUCCAUUUCCUGACAUUGUGCACUCUCCUCGGUCAAGCACUGGAAAAAGUCUGUCACCUAAAUUCCAUAAAACACGUUGAAGAACGGAUUCUUACCAAGCAUUCAGGUCCAAUUCUCUUAUUAAAUCAUUUCACAGAAAGAUUAUAAAAAAAAUACCAAUACAACACACGAGUGAUCGGUUUAAAAAAAAGCAAUUCAAUAAAAUCCCUUACAGUUCAAUCAUUGUAUCCUUGUGAAAGACCAUGUUCUAAAAUCUGUGGUUGGCUUUUGCCAUAGAGAAGGGCUUGAGGGCUUGCCAAGUAGCCUCAGACUUGUUAGGGCUAAUACAUCUUUAAGCCUUGCC
ensembl:lncRNA